UAUAUACCCCCUCCGUCCGAAAAUACUUGUCAUCAAAAUGGACAAAAAUGGAUGUAUCUAGAACUAAAGUACAUCUAGAUACAUCUCCUUUUAUUCAUUUUGAUGACAAGUAUUUUUGGAUAGAGAGAGUAUAAU
rfam:Triticum aestivum genome assembly, contig: Triticum_aestivum_CS42_TGACv1_scaffold_224299_3B